GUCUGGGAUAGCUCUGUUGGUAAAGCAUGAGAUUCUUAAUCUCAGGGUCGUGGGUUUGAGUCUGUUAGGUA